GUUUUGAAAUUCAAAAAGUAUUUUCAAAGUAUUGUCCGCAAGGCACAUCACGCAAACUUGCAGAAUCUACCGUAUCCCAUACAUUUUUAUAGUUUUUCCCUCAGUUUUUAAAAUUAAAAACGCUGAAAAAGCGAUUAAAUUUAUUUAAAU
ensembl:ncRNA C17H12.30 ncRNA